rnacentral:rRNA from 1 species
UACGAAGGGGGGCUAGCGUUGCUCGGAAUCACUGGGCGUAAAGCGCACGUAGGCGGCUUGUUAAGUCAGGGGUGAAAUCCUGGAGCUCAACUCCAGAACUGCCUUUGAUACCGGCGAGCUUGAGUUCGGGAGAGGUGAGUGGAACUGCGAGUGUAGAGGUGAAAUUCGUAGAUAUUCGCAAGAACACCAGUGGCGAAGGCGGCUCACUGGCCCGAUACUGACGCUGAGGUGCGAAAGCGUGGGGAGCAAACAGG